AGGAUGAACGCUGGCGGCGUGCCUAAAACAUGCAAGUCAUACGGGCUACCUUCGGGUAGCCAGUGGCAAACGGGUGAGUAACACGUGGGAACGCGCCUUGGGGUGGGGAAUAACGCUGAGAAAUCAGUGCUAAUACCGCAUACGGUCUAACGACUAAAGCAGCAAUGCGCCCCGAGAGCGGCCCGCGACCGAUUAGCUAGUUGGUGGGGUAAUGGCCUACCAAGGCGGUGAUCGGUAGCUGGUCUGAGAGGAUGGUCAGCCACACUGGGACUGCGAACGGCCCAGACUCCUACGGGAGGCAGCAGUUAGGAAUUUUCGGCAAUGGACGAAAGUCUGACCGAGCGACGCCGCGUGGAGGAUGACGCCUUUCGGGGUGUAAACUCCUUUUCUGCGGGAAGAUAAUGACGGUACCGCAGGAAUAAGCACCGGCUAACUACGUGCCAGCAGCCGC
rnacentral:rRNA from 1 species